GUGGGAUAUUGUUUGUGUUUGUGCUUAUUGCACCAGGUGAACAACAAGCCUCCAAGGACAGGCCAUAAAUUCACAGAGACAGACGAGCACCCGUUCACUGGUUCUAGCAGAGAAGAGGACGAACCGGAGGAGUCCGAGCCAUCCACUUCCACCGAUGAUGACAUCUCUCUGGGUGGACAAGAACAGGUUGUAGCACCAGUCUAGCCACACCCUCAAACAAUGCCGGCGGAGACCUUACUAUUUGGCACUCGGACAAUAGGAGGAUGGCGAACGGGGAGAUGCAGCUUUCUGCUUUUGCUGCAAACUUUUUUCACACGAGUGCAAAUCUGCACUUGUCAAGGAUGGAACCAGGGACUGGAAUCUUCAGCUCGCAUGAGAAGUCGCAUGACCGCCUAGAUAGUUUCCAGAGGUGGAAGGAGCUGGAGAUCCGCCUGGUGUCCAAGCAAACUAUCGAUGCCAAAGCCCAACGGGCUGUUGGAGGAGAGACUCUCCAUUGGCAACAGGUGAUGCAGAGACUCGUGGUCCUGAUACACGUAAUGGCCACCCAGCACAUUGUGGGACUACCGACAGGCUGAAUGAGCCAAAGAAUGGGAACUUUCUCAAGUUUGUGGAAAUGCGGGGUAUCUUUGAUUUGAUUUCACGACCAUGGACAGCUACCGAGAGAACAUCGCUGACUGCAAUGCAGCGCCAAAGCAGAGGAAAGAGGCCACUCUAGGCAGGCAACGAAAUGAAGAAAUGCUGUAACUGAUGGACCAUCAAAUUCGAUAUGUAAAUUAACAAAAUUUGUUAAGACUGAGUCAUUGACAGAAAGCCUAUUUUACACUGCUCCAGCAAAACAAGGCCCGCCAUGCAUUUAUGAAAGCAGUUGUUUCCAAAGCUCAAAUGAUCUCACUCUUUUUACAGUUCUACGGGAAUAUUAAAUUAUAUGUUAAAUAAACGUGUAUUUUUAUUCUAAUUGUAACAAUUGUGGGGUCGUGCCGUGUGUGAUAACAGGUGGCAUAUUAUUAGUAAGAAACUCUGUUUUCUACUAUAGGCUGUUGGCUGCAUAGUGAUUGCGACAUUGUAGCUCUCCGAUGCAGGGGUUAAAGUAAAAUUCCUUUUUGCCCGGUAAGGGACCUUAUACAUGCACCAGCAUUUUUUUUAUUGGCCUACUCAUAGAAUUACAUAUAUAAUUGGAGCCUAUUUCAUCUUGUUCAAAAAAGUGGUAGGACUACCUGUUUGACAAACACAAUUAUGCUAUCCAUAGAUGUCGGUAUAGCCAAAUCCUCCAAUACUGUCACAUGCGCUUCUUUUUAAAUACCUCUGUGUCUGGGAAGGGCUUGGUGUGUUUGGGUGUUUGGGCUCAAAUCGAGUGAGGGUAUGCCAUGCCCUUUGUUAAAGAAAAGGGCAAAAAGGAUGUCUAUUGUUUGCUUUAUAUUUAGAAAUAAAUACAUAAAGUAUCCAGAUUAUAUAUCCAGGUCGUAUAACAAUGCUUAACUCUGUGAUACCUUAUGGUAGAAACAAGCUUUAAAAUGCCCGCGAAAGACAUGACUCCGUUGCAUAUGUGGAUAUAUUGAUACCUCCCUAUGACAUUCUGAAGCUGAGCUGCGGCCUAUAAUAUUCAAGGAGACAAACCAAUGCUAUUCUGUCCCUAUUGAGCUUUUCACUGUCUGAAAAUAGAUGUUUGUUUAAAUCCAAGCAGCUUUUAGGGAAGCACUUCUGUUUUUGGGUUAUGCAAUGGACGAGUUGUUACAUCUGCUCCUGCCUUGUCCUCUACUUCUCAUCCUGCCACUCCCCCAGUACUCUCUCCCUCUUCCUCUCUGUGGGUGGAGACCGGUGUGCUGGAGGCAGAGCAGAUCCCCACCAGCUGCAACCUAUUCCAUAAUCAAAACCUCUACAAAUACUCAGCCCUGCCACUUCCACACUGCCAGAUCGUAACCUCUGCUCAUUCUGCUCGCUCUGACUUUGUCCCCUGUCUCCAGUUCCACGUUUCGUCUGUCCUGGACCCACUGCGUUCUUGGAUUCCUCUCCAGAGCUGCUUACCCAGUCCCAACUCCCCUCGCUCCAGCCUCAACCUCAGCACCGGGCUUCCUGUAGCCCACCCAAGCUGGCCUGCACCCCAUCCUCCACCUGUGUUUCAAUAAAUACCUUGGCU